rnacentral:misc_RNA from 1 species
GUUCUUUUAUGUUUUUAUAUUUCCUUCUGGAUAGGCUAACAAUAAUAUGUGAUGCAAGCUGUAGUUGUGUACAUAUGCACAGACCUGUCUUUGAGCAGUGCCACAGACACACAUCUUUGUUUAGUCUUCUUUCCUCGAUUAUAAACUGUAUGGUGUUAAGACUUCUAAGGGGUUUGAGAGUAAUAAUUUGCCUCAAAUCAGAGUUCAAUAACUGUGGAAAUGGGGUUCUAUUCACAAACAAGAACAUAAACUAAGGGGUUUGCAUAGGGGUAUUGCAGUUCCAGAGUUAAAGU